AGAGUUUGAUCCUGGCUCAGAGCGAACGUUAGCGGCGCGCCUAACACAUGCAAGUCGCACGAGAAAGGGCUUCGGCCCCGGUACAGUGGCGCACGGGUGAGUAACACGUGGGUAACCUUCCCAAGAGUGGUGGAUAACCUGCCGAAAGGCGGGCUAAUACAGCAUACGACGGGCUGUCUUCGGACGGUUCGUGAAAGCAGGCCUCUGUACACAAGCUUGCGCUCAUGGAUGGGCUCGCGCCCCAUCAGCUAGUUGGCGAGGUAAUGGCUCACCAAGGCAUAGACGGGUAGCUGGUCUGAGAGGAUGGCCAGCCACACUGGAACUGAGACACGGUCCAGACUCCUACGGGAGGCAGCAGUGGGGAAUCUUGCGCAAUGGACGAAAGUCUGACGCAGCG
rnacentral:rRNA from 1 species